UACGUAGGGUGCAAGCGUUGUCCGGAAUUAUUGGGCGUAAAGAGCUCGUAGGCGGUCUGUCGCGUCGGCUGUGAAAACUCGGGGCUCAACCCCGAGCCUGCAGUCGAUACGGGCAGACUAGAGUGCUGUAGGGGAGACUGGAAUUCCUGGUGUAGCGGUGAAAUGCGCAGAUAUCAGGAGGAACACCAAUGGCGAAGGCAGGUCACUAUGUCUUAACUGACGCUGAUGGACGAAAGCGUGGGGAGCGAACAGG
rnacentral:rRNA from 1 species